rnacentral:tRNA from 1 species
AAUAAGAUAAGCUAAACUAAGCUAGUGGGCCCAUAACCCAAAAAUGACACUCUCUCUUAUUAC